ACUGUUCAAAUAAGCUCAAAAUUUAAGAAUACAAAACCUACACCUUUAAUCAUCAUUAAAAAAAAUUUCAGCUGCAAAUUUGUUGCCAAUCGACUGAUAUCACCAAAUCCUUGUCAAGUACUUUUGAAAGUCAAAACCCUAAACACCCGAGAACAAAUUUUGCCAUUUCUUCCAAUUCAGAGCCUCAAUUGACAUGAGAUUUUAGACAUAGGCACUUUAUAUCAUAAGUGGUAUGUACACAUAAAAAAAAAAAAAAAAAAAAAAAAAAAAAACUUCAAAUUCGUCUUAAAGCUCAAGUUCUAGUUUAAAACCAGAACCCUCUAUUUCUCUAAUUUCUUCAAAACUCUAGUUUUAGUUUGCUGGUUUUAACCAACCAUAUCUCACUCAUUCUAGAUUCAAUUAUAUUGAUCUUUAGAUGUAAAAUAUUCAAAUUGAAGUCUAAUUUUUAAUCCAAUUCUUCGAUUUCUUGCUAAUAUCUUAAAACUUCUAAUAUGCAUAGAAAAGUGACAGUAGAUAUCAAAUUAGUAGCCUAAGUUUAAAAAAAGCACAUCUCUCUCAUCCAAGCUCCAAUUCAUACAUUUUUCCUAUCUAAAUUCAUACU
rnacentral:lncRNA from 1 species